UACAGAGGGGGCAAGCGUUGUUCGGAAUUACUGGGCGUAAAGGGCGCGUAGGCGGCCUGUUAAGUCGGACGUGAAAUCCCCGGGCUCAACCCGGGAACUGCGUCCGAUACUGGCAGGCUUGAAUCCGGGAGAGGGAUGUGGAAUUCCAGGUGUAGCGGUGAAAUGCGUAGAUAUCUGGAGGAACACCGGUGGCGAAGGCGGCAUCCGGGACCGGCAUUGACGCUGAUGCGCGAAAGCCAGGGGAGCAAACGGG
rnacentral:rRNA from 1 species